UACGUAGGGUGCGAGCGUUGUCCGGAAUUAUUGGGCGUAAAGAGCUCGUAGGCGGUCUGUCGCGUCGAUCGUGAAAACUUGGGGCUUAACCCUGAGCUUGCGGUCGAUACGGGCAGACUAGAGUGCGGUAGGGGAGACUGGAAUUCCUGGUGUAGCGGUGAAAUGCGCAGAUAUCAGGAGGAACACCGGUGGCGAAGGCGGGUCUCUGGGCCGUAACUGACGCUGAGGAGCGAAAGCGUGGGGAGCGAACAGG
rnacentral:rRNA from 1 species